rnacentral:rRNA from 1 species
UACGAAGGGGGCUAGCGUUGUUCGGAAUUACUGGGCGUAAAGCGUGCGCAGGCGGCUAUCCAAGUCAGUGGUGAAAGCCCGGAGCUCAACUCCGGAACUGCCAUUGAAACUGUUUAGCUCGAGUACGAGAGAGGUGAGUGGAAUUCCCAGUGUAGAGGUGAAAUUCGUAGAUAUUGGGAAGAACACCGGUGGCGAAGGCGGCUCACUGGCUCGUAACUGACGCUCAGGCGCGACAGCGUGGGGAUCAAACAGG